CUCUUCGGAGUUAGUGGCGGACGGGUGAGUAACACGUGGGAACGUGCCUUUUGGUUCGGAAUAGCUCCUGGAAACGGGUGGUAAUGCCGAAUGUGCCCUUCGGGGGAAAGAUUUAUCGCCAUUAGAGCGGCCCGCGUCUGAUUAGCUAGUUGGUGAGGUAAAGGCUCACCAAGGCUACGAUCAGUAGCUGGUCUGAGAGGAUGACCAGCCACAUUGGGACUGAGACACGGCCCAAACUCCUACGGGAGGCAGCAGUGGGGAAUCUUGCGCAAUGGGCGAAAGCCUGACGCAGCCAUGCCGCGUGAAUGAUGAAGGUCUUAGGAUUGUAAAAUUCUUUCACCGGGGACGAUAAUGACGGUACCCGGAGAAGAAGCCCCGGCUAACUUCGUGCCAGCAGCCGCGGUAAUACGAAGGGGGCUAGCGUUGCUCGGAAUUACUGGGCGUAAAGGGAGCGUAGGCGGACAUUUAAGUCAGGGGUGAAAUCCCAGAGCUCAACUCUGGAACUGCCUUUGAUACUGGGUGUCUUGAGUGUGAGAGAGGUAUGUGGAACUCCGAGUGUAGAGGUGAAAUUCGUAGAUAUUCGGAAGAACACCAGUGGCGAAGGCGACAUACUGGCUCAUUACUGACGCUGAGGCUCGAAAGCGUGGGGAGCAAACAGGAUUAGAUACCC
rnacentral:rRNA from 1 species